GAUGAACGCUGGCGGUGUGCCUAAUACAUGCAAGUCGAGCGAACAGACGAGGAGCUUACUCCUCUGACGUUAGCGGCGGACGGGUGAGUAACACGUGGAUAACCUACCUAUAAGACUGGGAUAACUUCGGGAAACCGGAGCUAAUACCGGAUAACAUUUUGAACCGCAUGGUUCAACAGUGAAAGACGGUCUUGCUGUCACUUAUAGAUGGAUCCGCGUCGCAUUAGCUAGUUGGUAAGGUAACGGCUUACCAAGGCAACGAUGCGUAGCCGACCUGAGAGGGUGAUCGGCCACACUGGAACUGAGAAACGGUCCAGACUCCUACGGGAGGCAGCAGUAGGGAAUCUUCAGCAAUGGGCGAAAGCCUGAAGGAGCAACGCCGCGUGAGUGAAGAAGGUCUUCGGAUCGUAAAACUCUGUUAUUAGGGAAGAACAAAUGUGUAAGUAACUAUGCACAUCUUGACGGUACCUAAUCAGAAAGCCACGGCUAACUACGUG
rnacentral:rRNA from 1 species